AACGCUGGCGGCGUGCCUUAACACAUGGCAAGUUGAACGAAGACAUACCGACGGAAUCCUUCGGGAGAAGAUGGUAUGGACUGAGUGGCGGACGGGUGAGUAACGCGUGGGUAACCUGCCCUGUACAGGGGGACAACAGUUAGAAAUGACUGCUAAUACCGCAUAAGCGNACAGUGCCGCAUGGUACAGUGUGAAAAACUCCGGUGGUACAGGAUGGGCCCGCGUCUGAUUAGAUAGUUGGCGGGGUAACGGCCCACCAAGUCGACGAUCAGUAGCCGGACUGAGAGGUUGAACGGCCACAUUGGGACUGAGACACGGCCCAGACUCCUACGGGAGGCAGCAGUGGGGGAUAUUGGACAAUGGGGGCAACCCUGAUCCAGCGACGCCGCGUGAGGGAAGAAGGUUUUCGGAUUGUAAACCUCUGUUGACGGAGAAAAAAUGAUGGUAUCCGUUUAGAAAGCCACGGCUAACUACGUG
rnacentral:rRNA from 1 species